UUAUUAUCCAUCCAUACAUCCAUUUUCUGUACCACUUAUCCUACACAGGGGCGCAGAGAGCCUGGAGCCUAUCCCAGGGCACUCAGGGCACGAGACAGGGGACACCCUGGACAAGGGCACACACAUUCACACUCUACCGACAAUUUGGAAACACCAAUCAGCCUACAAAUGCAGGUCUUUGGACCAGGGGAUGAAACCAGAGUACCCGGUGGAAGCCUCCGAAAGACGAGGAGAACUCUAUGCCACCGUGCCCCCCAUUAUUAUCAUCAUCAUCAUCAUCAUCAUUAUUAUUAUUAUUAUUAUUAUUAUUAGCAGCAGCAGCAGUAGUAGUAGUAGUAGUAGUAGAUAACACAGUGUCUUGUUCCAUUUUUCUGACAUUCGGAAAGGCCUACUUAUUCGCCCAUUAAUCUUCAGUAACCCUUUUAUCCUGGUCAGGGUUAUGGCGAAUCUAAAGCCUAUCCUGGGAACACUGGGUCCAAGGCAGGAGUAGGACCUUGAAAAGUUGCCAAUCCGUUACAGUGCACCACACACACACACACACACACACACACACACACACACACACACACACACACAUACAUACUUUUUUUUCCUAUACUCAGACACUCAUUUACACUUAGGACAAAUUAGGGUAGCCAGUCCAUGUACUGGCACUUUUUGGCCAUGGGAGGCAACUGAAGAACCUAGAAGAAAACCAUAUGGACAUGCAAGAACAGGCAAAACCGAGCUCAGAAUCAAACCUCGGAUACUGGAGCUGGGAAGAGAGGCACCAACACUGCCGGCUGCACAGAUUGAUUGACUGAGGAUUCAGGAUUUUAAAGAAUAAGUCUACAGUUGAAGAGAAGUCUGGCCUGGUUUACUGACAGAUGAUUCCUGGGUGGGAGUGCAAUGCAGCCCCAUGGCUGAACACACUGGUGGGAAAAAGGCCAAUAACUGUCAGCAGGAAAUGACAUCAGGUUUAACAACAGCUGCAAUCUCAAAACUGAAUGUGCAAGUUACCCAUGCCAUAGGCACUGACACAUCUGGAGACCAUGACAGACGCUGGCUUUUGGACCUGAUGCUGAUAACAGCUUGGAUGAUCCUUUUCCUCUUUGGCCCCGAGAACACGACAGCUGUCCAAAAACUAUUUGAUAUGUCGACUCGUUGGACCACAAAACACGAUUCGAUUGUGCUACUGUCCAUCUCAGAUGAGACCGAGUCCAGAAAAGUUAGCGGUGCUUCUUGCAUCUGUGGAUGCAUUGGCGAAUGGUGUCGCAUGAUAAAGGUUUCCAAAGUAUUCCCGAGCCGAUGUCAGGAUCUCCAUUACAGACUCAAGACGGUUUUUAAGACAGUGACGUUUGAAGGAUCAGAGAUCACGCGCAUAGAGAAGUGGUUUUCGGCUUCGCCCUUUACACAGCGAGAAUUGACCGGAUUCCUUGAAUCUUUUAAUUAUAUUGUGCACUGUAGAAGGUGAAAUGCCCCAAAUCCUACGGAUUUGUUUUUGGGGAAUGUUGUCUUCAAAGUGUUGGAUAAUUCACUAAUGCAUCUGUUGACAGAUUGGUGAGCCUCGACACAUCUUUACUCUUGAAGGACUAGGCCUUUUUUGGAGGCUUCUUAUAUCCUCUGAUUAGACGAUUACCUCACCUGUUUCACAUCACCUUCUUAUUUCAACUUCUCACAUCAAUAUUAGUCCUAAAUCACCCCUGUCCCAACUUCUUUGGAACAUGUUGGGUGCAUCAAUUUCAAAAUAAACGUUUAUCUUCAAAAAAACUGUGCAGUUGAUGAGGUAAAACAUCAAAUACCUUGUCUUUAUAUGAUUUUUGUUUAAACACAAGUCAAAGUACAUUCA